AGCUGCUGCCCUUCGCUAUAGACCUGCACCCUUGCCUGGCCCAGAGAUGAAAGAAGCAGGAAAGAAGCUGCCACGUCACCAAAGUGACACCUCAGAUCGAUCCAAUCCAGAGACCCACAUAUCAUUUAGUUGUCAUGGCUACCCAGCCUCCUCUGGUCUGUGAAAACAUUUCAGUCUUUCUUAAUUGUCAUGACCUUGAGAGUCUUGAAGAACAGAGGUGUUCCAACUCUAAUGAUACAUCUUACUAUGUGAGUGGAAGACUAGU